UGGGGAAUUUUGGACAAUGGGCGCAAGCCUGAUCCAGCCAUGCCGCGUGCGGGAAGAAGGCCUUCGGGUUGUAAACCGCUUUUGUUCGGGAAGAAAUCCCUUGGGAUAAUACCUCGAGGGGAUGACGGUACCGGAAGAAUAAGCACCGGCUAACUACGUGCCAGCAGCCGCGGUAAUACGUAGGGUGCAAGCGUUAAUCGGAAUUACUGGGCGUAAAGCGUGCGCAGGCGGUUGUGCAAGACAGAUGUGAAAUCCCCGGGCUUAACCUGGGAACUGCAUUUGUGACUGGCGAGCUAGAGUAUGGCAGAGGGGGGUAGAAUUCCACGUGUAGCAGUGAAAUGCGUAGAGAUGUGGAGGAAUACCGAUGGCGAAGGCAGCCCCCUGGGCCAAUACUGACGCUCAUGCACGAAAGCGUGGGGAGCAAACA
rnacentral:rRNA from 1 species